rnacentral:rRNA from 1 species
CCUACGGGUGGCAGCAGUAGGGAAUCUUUCACAAUGGGCGAAAGCCUGAUGGAGCAACGCCGCGUGAAGGAUGAAGGCCUUCGGGUUGUAAACUGCUUUUAUAAGCGAGAAAUAUGAUGGUAACUUAUGAAUAAGGUUCGGCUAACUACGUGCCAGCAGCCGCGGUCAUACGUAGGCUCCGAGCAUUAUCCGGAGUGACUGGGUGUAAAGAGUUUCUUAGGUGGCAUAAUAAGUAGCUAGUGAAAUCUGGUGGCUCAAACAUUCAGACUAUUAGCUAAACUGUUAAGCUUGAGACCGUUAGGGGUAACUGGAAUGUGUAGUGUAGGAGUGAAAUCCGUAGAUAUUAGAAGGAACACCAAUAGCGUAGGCAGGUUGCUGGGACGGUUCUGACACUAAGGCACGAAAGCGUAGGGAGCAAACGGGAUUAGAUACCCUUGUAGUC